rnacentral:rRNA from 1 species
GACGAACGCUGGCGGCGUGCUUAACACAUGCAAGUCGAACGAUGAAGCCGGAGCUUGCUCUGGUGAAUUAGUGGCGAACGGGUGAGUAACACGUGAGUAACCUGCCCUUGACCCUGGGAUAACUGCGGGAAACCGUAGCUAAUACCGGAUACGACCCUCGGAGGCAUCUCCUGGGGGUGGAAAGAAUUGCGGUCCGGGAUGCACUCGCGGCCUAUCAGCUAGUUGGUGAGGUAAAGGCUCACCAAGGCGACGACGAGUAGCCGGCCUGAGAGGGUGACCGGGCACUCGGAGACUGAGACACGGCACAGACUCCUACGUGAGGCAGCAGUGGUGAAUAUUGCACAUUGGACGCAAUCCUGAUGCAUCAACGCGGCGUGAGGGAUGACGGCCUUCGGGUUGUAAACCUCUUUUAGCAGGGAAGAAGCGAAAGUGACGGUACCUGCAGAAAAGGCACCGGCUAACUACGUGCCAGCCGCCGCCGUAA